UACGUAGGGUGCGAGCGUUGUCCGGAAUUAUUGGGCGUAAAGGGCUCGUAGGCGGUUUGUCACGUCGGGAGUGAAAACUCAGGGCUUAACCCUGAGCCUGCUUCCGAUACGGGCAGACUAGAGGUAUGCAGGGGAGAACGGAAUUCCUGGUGUAGCGGUGAAAUGCGCAGAGUAUCAGGAGGAACACCGGUGGCGAAGGCGGUUCUCUGGGCAUUACCUGACGCUGAGGAGCGAAAGUGUGGGGAGCGAACAGG
rnacentral:rRNA from 1 species